rnacentral:misc_RNA from 1 species
GAUGAAGAACGUAGCGAAAUGCGAUAAGUAAUGUGAAUUGCAGAAUUCAGUGAAUCAUCAAAUCUUUGAACGCACAUUGCGCCCGCCAGUAUUCUGGCGGGCAUGCCUGUUCGAGCGUCAUUUCAACCCUCAAGCCCAGCUUGGUGUUGGGGAUCGGCACAGGCGCCCUCGGGCGCCCGCCGUCCCCUAAAUCUAGUGGCGGUCCCGCUGCAGCCUCCUCUGCGUAGUAGUUUUCUCCUCGCAAGGGCAGCUCGGUGGCGACCUCGCCGUAAAACCCCCAACUUCUGAAAGGUUGACCUCGAAUCAGGUAGGAAUACCCGCUGAACUUAAGCAUAUCAAUAAGCGGAGGA